GUUCCCAUCGCUCUUUCCCAAAACCUCACCCAGACCCACCCCUGAGUAUUUCAGCAGAAUACCAAGACAAUGGCUGGGUGAAUUAGACCAUAGCAACUGGCUCAUUUGGACACCGUACCAAUCUUCAAGAUGUCCGCAUUAUAAAAACAGCUUCGAUCUGUUUGUUUCCUGAGCGUCACACUUUGAAACUUCCAGCUAAAAAUUGGAGAUUGCUAUUUUUCUGCCAUUCUGCCGUUGUUGCUUUGUAUCUCUUGAAACUAUAUUGCCAGGUGCAUACCCAAUUAUGUCAGGGAACAUCUUCAAAGAAAGUAGGGAGAGCUGACAAAUGUCCUUCAAAGGGAUAAAGAACAGACAAAGAACUGACUUCUGGGCAAUGGUAAUGAGAACCAAAUGACAG
rnacentral:lncRNA from 1 species